rnacentral:rRNA from 1 species
ACUCCUACUGGAGGCAGCAGUGGGGAAUUUUCCGCAAUGGGCGAAAGCCUGACGGAGCAACGCCGCGUGAGGGAUGAAGGCCUCUGGGCUGUAAACCUCUUUUCUCAAGGAAGAAGAACUGACGGUACUUGAGGAAUAAGCCACGGCUAAUUCCGUGCCAGCAGCCGCGGUAAUAC